rnacentral:rRNA from 1 species
GACGAACGCUGGCGGCGUGCUUAACACAUGCAAGUCGAACGGAAAGGCCCUGCUUUUGUGGGGUGCUCGAGUGGCGAACGGGUGAGUAACACGUGAGUAACCUGCCCUUGACUUUGGGAUAACUUCAGGAAACUGGGGCUAAUACCGGAUAGGAGCUCCUGCUGCAUGGUGGGGGUUGGAAAGUUUCGGCGGUUGGGGAUGGACUCGCGGCUUAUCAGCUUGUUGGUGGGGUAGUGGCUUACCAAGGCUUUGACGGGUAGCCGGCCUGAGAGGGUGACCGGCCACAUUGGGACUGAGAUACGGCCCAGACUCCUACGGGAGGCAGCAGUGGGGAAUAUUGCACAAUGGGCGGAAGCCUGAUGCAGCAACGCCGCGUGCGGGGUGACGGCCCUCGGGUUGUAAACCGCUUUCGCCUGUGACGAAGCGUGAGUGACGGUAAUGGGUAAAGAAGCACCGGCUAACUACGUG